GGCAGCAGCCGCGGUAACACCGGCGGCCCGAGUGGUGAUCGUGAUUAUUGGGUCUAAAGGGUCCGUAGCCGGUUUGGUCAGUCCUCCGGGAAAUCUGAUAGCUCAACUAUUAGGCUUUCGGGGGAUACUGCCAGACUUGGAACCGGGAGAGGUAAGAGGUACUACAGGGGUAGGAGUGAAAUCUUGUAAUCCCUGUGGGACCACCUGUGGCGAAGGCGUCUUACCAGAACGGGUUCGACGGUGAGGGACGAAAGCUGGGGGCACGAACCGGAUUAGAUACCCGGGUAGUCCCAGCCGUAAACGAUGCUCGCUAGGUGUCAGGCAUGGCGCGACCGUGUCUGGUGCCGCAGGGAAGCCGUGAAGCGAGCCACCUGGGAAGUACGGCCGCAAGGCUGAAACUUAAAGGAAUUGGCGGGGGAGCACAACAACGGGUGGAAGCCUGCGGUUUAAUUGGACUCAACGCCGGACAACUCACCGGGGGCGACAGCAAUAUGUAGGCCAAGCUGAAGACUUUGCCUGAAUCGCUGAGGGGUGGUGCAUGG
rnacentral:rRNA from 1 species